CCUACGGGAGGCAGCAGUGAGGAAUAUUGGUCAAUGGGCUUACGCCUGAACCAGCCAAGUCGCGUGAGGGAAGACUGCCCUAUGGGUUGUAAACCUCUUUUGUCAGGGAGCAACGCCGGCUACGUGUAGCCGGACUGAGAGUACCUGAAGAAAAAGCAUCGGCUAACUCCGUGCCAGCAGCCGCGUUAAUACGGAGGAUGCGAGCGUUAUCCGGAUUUAUUGGGUUUAAAGGUUGCGUAGGCGGAAUGCCAAGUCAGCGGUAAAAUCGCGGGGCUCAACCUCGCUCCGCCGUUGAAACUGGCGUGCUUGAGUGGGCGAGAAGUAUGCGGAAUGCGUGGUGUAGCGGUGAAAUGCAUAGAUAUCACGCAGAACUCCGAUUGCGAAGGCAGCAUACCGGCGCCCAACUGACGCUGAAGCACGAAAGCGUGGGUAUCGAACAGGAUUAGAUACCCUAGUAGUC
rnacentral:rRNA from 1 species